rnacentral:misc_RNA from 1 species
GUGAAUACAAACGCUUGAGUGUCUCUGUCCUUGUGGCAAGCCUCUCGCACCCUUCACAUCCAUAACACCUGUGCACUGUAAGAUGACCUGACUCCGGUCGGGUUGUCUGACCAUUUUACAAACAAUUAUAUGUAACAAAUGUAGUCUUAUUAUAACAAAAUA